UAAUGUGUAAGAAUUAAGCUAAUAAUGUUGGAUUCCCUUCCCUGAACAUAUGAGCAAGUUUUAACAAUAAGUCAGCUGUAAAUUUCUGAGUGUGACACAAAAAUUUUAUGAUGCUAAAUUAAACUUCACAGCAAUUCAUGAUAUCUAUGUUGGAUUCACACUUUACGGAGUUUGUGUCUCCUGAGCAUCAUGAAAGGCAGAACGACAUGUCCCUUCCUCUCAGGACGAGAUUUAUAGCAUCUACAGUAUUUUGCAUCUGAAUUCGAACAGGCAUUGCCAAAGCCAUCCAGAAUACCCGAUGAACCUUCUGUAAUUCUUCUUUGCUGCAGUACGUUUUGAAGUACAAGAUGCAGAAUCCAGUCGGACUAAUCCACUCCACUAAUGCCUUGUUCCAAGCCAGCUCAAACUGCUUGGGUCUAUGGCAAGGGGCGUAGUGGGAAACCCAAAAGCCUAGAGCUGCUCGAGGAUGUCCUACAAGGCUGUCAGCUGUAUCUCCCACUGAACGUGAGCAGUUUCCUCCAGCUCUGGUGCAAUCACUGGGUGACAAUGACACUAACAAGGUCAAAGAGUGUGGUGCUGGAAAAGCACAGCCAGUCAGGCAGCAUCCAAGGAGCAGGAGAGUCGACAUUUCGAGCAUAAGGUCUUCAUUAGGAAUUCUUCAGCUACAUCCUGAAGCAGACCUUUCCUCCCUCUGCAAGGAUCUCAGUGAGUUUCUCUCUUACUGCCCCCCGAGGUCAUCUCGUCUGCCCUGAUGCUCUUCAGCCACAUCCUGAAGCAGACUCGCUACCACAACCAUUUCCUCCUUCCCUCCCAUGACACUAAC